UUUUUGCAGAUUCCUUCUUGCACUUGUUGGUGAAAGAGCUGAGUACUGAUUGCCUUCCGUGAGCACCUUUGGACUUCAGGGGGAGGAUAAUACAGGAGGAAAAUGCAUUGUGAAAUUUCUCAGAGAUCCUAUCUCCAGAGGUGCUGAUUGCUGAGAUGAUUCCUGUGGCACACACAGUGACUGUGAUGGGAGAACUGUAUAUCCAGAUGCUGUGUCUAAUCACUGGGUCAAGCUGAUGAUGACUCAGAGCUGCUGAGUUCCCUCUGCCAGAAAAAGGUGCUGAAACCCUCAGGAUUGGAGCGACAUAUCUGACUAUCUGAUGCAGAAGGUCCUGCAUUUUGCCUGCAGAAAGCACGGAAAAGCUAGAGCUGCUUCCUGGUUAUGAGGGCAAAGUUGGUCCUGAUGGUUCCUGUGCUGGAGAAAGCUGACCACAUGCCGUCAUGGUACAACACAGCAAAGCCUGAAAUGCAAGUAGAAGGACAGACUGUCAGGAUUCCACCUGGGCGUUGUGUGGUUGGUUAGUGACGGACACGACCUUGUGGUCUCUGCAUGGCAGAGUGCAGCAAGGCAAAGAACUGAGGUGGGGCUGCCUGAACCUGUCUUCUCAGCUGAGCACAAAAGGGCACUAGCAUGUAAAAGCUUCAGUUUACUGCAACAUAUCUUCAAACACAUCACCUUUGAAACAAUAAUCAUUCAAAGCUAUUAUAGAAGAACAAAAGGAAAAGCUUUGAAAAUAUUUUUUUUCCUUUCAAUCAUUGCUCCUUGAAGGACAGGUCCUUUCCUCCAGCUCUGCUCUCACUUGUGCCUUCCCUUGUCACAGCAAACUCUGUAUAAAAAGCCUGGCCUUUGGUCUGCCCCCAUUAUGUGCCUGCCUUCUGCUCCUUGGGAUCUCUGUUUUUGACUCCCUGAGGUCUAAGCUGUCCCAGCUGAGCAUGCUUGAGGCAGUCUCCUACUCCUACCAGAGAGCUUUGUUCAACCCAGCAAGCACCACCUCACACAAAUCCCGAUGACAGCCUUCCCCUCUGGCUUCUUAAUAAACAGAGCAUUAAACACAGCAGUCGGUAAGCUGUGGACAAACAGAUAAAACAGGGACCAGCUUCUCUGUUUUGUGUAUCAGAUGUUGCAGUAAGGAUUAAAGGAUGUGUUCUGGUAAUCCUGUUUCUUCAAGCUACUCACUAAAGUAAGAUUUCCUUUUCAUGAGGGGAACGCAUUUCAAAGAGGAUGUUAGUUUACAAAUAUCUCUAUUGCUCAGUGUCCUCCUGUAUCUUUGUAACCGAUGAAAUCUAUACACAGGUAAGACUAUAUUAGGCAGCCAUUUCAAAUACUUUUAAUGAUAUUUGCAGCUAAGUAAAAGGAAUUUUUGUGAUGGUAUUUGUCGGAUUCUUCACAGACAUUGUACAAUAUUGCUUUCAGUGAAAAUACAAUUAUUGUUAGUGCCUAUAUCUGACUAUCAUGUCUGAAAGUGAGAGAUACAAGAAUAUAGAGUACGUCUGUUACUGAUUAGACAAAAGAGGUCAGUUUGAGGUCAGACAAUCAAAUUCUUGAGGUGUCUGAGCUUAUGAGAAUGAAGUGGAGCGGAUCUGAAGAUGCUUCUUUUAUUAAUCGCAUUUUUAAUGUUGGGAUAUGGAUGGCAAGAAAUGUGGGCUUCAGAAGAUAGUUGUGCUAAUCUAUCAGCAUUGGUAGAUCCUGUGCCCCAGUUUCCCAUUGCACUUUGUGUUCUUGUCUAUUUUCUUCUGCUGAAGUUUGCUCUGAAGUUAGUCUGACCUCUUGAUGAGACAUUUUGGCUUAUUCAAUGGGCAGAAAAUUAUCUCACUUUUUUUCUUGCUGAAUGAGAUGAACUGAGUCAUCAAAUGGUUGGAGCAAGCACAAAGGAAGUGCUACAUACACGCAGCUGGGAGUGGGGAAAAUGAGAAAACCAUAUUUUUAGUUUAGGAAGCUUUUAGACCAUCUCAGCACUCUUGUGAAACUCAUUCUUGGUGAAGAACUUGCAUAUCAUAUUUGCUCUGCCUCUGGUCUAGCGAAACCUGAAUAUAUUGGCUGCUAGCGCUAGUGGUUCUGCAGAAGUGUUUGACAGAAGAAAGGCUGUUUGAUUUAAGUGGGUCCCUCAGUGGAGAUGUCAUUGGCGAUGAAUAUUGAUGGACUGAAGCUAAUUAAUAAGUCAGUGUGUAACCUUUUUGUUCUUAUAUAUAUUUUUAUAAAUGUGAAGCUGGUUAUGAUUAGGUGACUUGCAAAUGAUUUUGCCAUUUACACUUCAGAAACAUUUGCGGGAAUCCAGAAGUUUUUGUUACAACCACAGAUGUACCCACUUACUACGUCUGUUAGACGCAUGAACAGGAUGGGAAGGCCUCAGAAUCUGUAACGCUAAAUAAUGUGAGACUUUACUGAAGAGCAUGCUUGCUGGAAAUAUAUAAAGCCAUAGAGAAAUGAGCGUAUUAGGGAGGUUUAUUUUUGUCACUACAGACAAAUGCUAGUGAUUAUGUGAGGAUUUUCAAGUUUUACAGUUUUCAGCAGUCACCAUAAAAAAACGGACCUUCAAAAUAAAGCAGCUCCUCUCUAGACAUUAUAAUAAGAGAUAAAUUUUUGAAAUUAUAUUCAAUAUCCUAAUUUAUUCUCCUUCGGGGUAGUUUUCAAACACGAUCAAUGCUCAGAUUUCAGGUUCUUCAGAAAAUUUGGCUUAAGCUCUCCAUACUGUGCUCAACAGGCUCCACACAGCAUUAAGGCAGAAUCAGGUGCCUGCUCACCAUUUUUGAUCAACUAAUAUAUCCAGAUGCAGGCUGGAAUGGAUCAAAACAGUAAUAAAAGAAGAAAAUUAGGUGACAUUCAGUGAAAAAUUUCAUUUCCCUGGAAGGAGCUCAAAGAAUGACCAAGUAACAAAUAUCAAAUCAAGAAUCAAAGAUGGGUGAUUUAGAAAGGUAUUUUAAGUUCAGUUCCAUGAAGGCAUUCACAGAAAAAUACUAGGUUGCUCCAAAAACAGUAUCUCUUAUUUUUUUCCCAUGGAAACUGCAAUAGACACAAAGAGCACAACAAUGCUAUGUGAUAGAGCAAAUUCUCAGAUAUGAAACUCUGUUUUGCUACAUAGUCACCACAAUUAGCUAUGCAUUUUCGUUGUGCUUGUCAAAAUCUGUACCAGCGGAAGUGACCCACUGUUGCCGUUGCCACUGCUGAAACACACAACCCAUCACC